ensembl:snRNA U6 U6 spliceosomal RNA
AUGAGUUCAGCCAGCAAAUAUACUAAAAUUGGAAGGAUAUAAAGAAGAUUAGCAUGGCCCCUGCACAAGAAGGAUGACAUGAAAUAUAUAUAUAUAUAAAAUGAAUCU